rnacentral:lncRNA from 1 species
AGGGCUCGUUUUAUAGGAUAUCCUAAAGAAUCCAUGGGAUACUAUUUCUAUCUUCCUAGGGAUCAUAAUGUGAUUGUGAGCUGUCAUGCCAUCUUCUUGACAAAAGAGUUCAUCCUAGAUGGAGACAGUGGGAGGAAGAUAUGAUUGAGCUCGAAGAGAAGGUCUCUGAAAAGUAUCGAGUCUAAAAAUUUAAAUCCAGUAGUGAGCCAAUAGAUGUAGUAUUUCUUCCACCUUG